rnacentral:rRNA from 1 species
GACGAACCGUGCGAACGUUGUUCGGAAUCACUGGGCAUAAAGGGCGCGUAGGCGGCUUUUCAAGUCAGGGGUGAAAUCCGGCAGCUCAACUGUCGAAGUGCCCUUGAUACUGAUGAGCUCGAGGGAGGUAGGGGUAUGUGGAACUUCCGGUGGAGCGGUGAAAUGCGUUGAUAUCGGAAGGAACGCCGGUGGCGAAAGCGACGUACUGGACCUCUUCUGACGCUGGGGCGCGAAAGCUAGGGGAGCAAACGGG